rnacentral:rRNA from 1 species
CCUACGGGAGGCAGCAGUGGGGAAUAUUGGACAAUGGGCGAAAGCCUGAUCCAGCCAUGCCGCGUGUGUGAAGAAGGUCUUCGGAUUGUAAAGCACUUUAAGUUGGGAGGAAGGGUUGUAGAUUAAUACUCUGCAAUUUUGACGUUACCGACAGAAUAAGCACCGGCUAACUCUGUGCCA